UACGUAGGGGCCUAGCGUUGUCCGGAAUUAUUGGGCGUAAAGAGCUCGUAGGCGGUUCGGCAAGUCGGAUGUGAAAUCUCCACGCUUAACGUGGAGGGGCCAUUCGAAACUGCUGUGACUCGAGUCCGGUAGGGGAGUGUGGAAUUCCCGGUGUAGCGGUGAAAUGCGCAGAUAUCUGGAGGAACACCGGUGGCGAAGGCGGCAUCCUGGACCGGUAUUGACGCUGAGGCGCGAAAGCUAGGGGAGCAAACGGG
rnacentral:rRNA from 1 species